rnacentral:rRNA from 1 species
CCUACGGGUGGCAGCAGUGGGGAAUAUUGCACAAUGGGGGAAACCCUGAUGCAGCAACGCCGCGUGAGUGAAGAAGUAUUUCGGUAUGUAAAGCUCUAUCAGCAGGGAAGAAGAAAGACGGUACCUGACUAAGAAGCCCCGGCUAACUACGUGCCAGCAGCCGCGGUAAUACGUAGGGGGCAAGCGUUAUCCGGAUUUACUGGGUGUAAAGGGAGCGUAGACGGCUGUGCAAGUCUGAAGUGAAAGCCCGGGGCUCAACCCUGGGACUGCUCUGGAAACUGUAAAGCUGGAGUGCGGGAGGGGCAGGCGGAAUUCCUGGUGUAGCGGUGAAAUGCGUAGAUAUCAGGAGGAACACCGGCGGCGAAGGCGGCCUGCUGGACCGUAACUGACGUUGAGGCUCGAAAGCGUGGGGAGCAAACAGGAUUAGAUACCCUAGUAGUC